AACAAUAAAAUCAAACACAGUAUUACACAGUGUAAAAAUAACAUAUCCUACCCCCAUUCCACAAUCCCUUUAAAAAGGGCUAUUCCCUGUGUCCAUUGGUGGAUCAGUGGGUGUUUCCAUCAAUCUGUCUCCUCAUUGGUGUAAAGACGAUCUUCCUCAGCUGUUUAUACUACUUGUAACUUCAUUUCAAUCAAAGUUUGCGCGUUCGAGAAAAC